rnacentral:rRNA from 1 species
ACUCCUACGGGAGGCAGCAGUAAGGAAUAUUGGUCAAUGGAGGCAACUCUGAACCAGCCAUGCCGCGUGCAGGAUGACUGCCCUAUGGGUUGUAAACUGCUUUUGUCAGGGAAUAAACCUUUCUACGUGUAGAAAGCUGAAUGUACCUGAAGAAUAAGGAUCGGCUAACUCCGUGCCAGCAGCCGCGGUAAUACGGAGGAUCCAAGCGUUAUCCGGAUUUAUUGGGUUUAAAGGGUGCGUAGGCGGUCCUAUAAGUCAGUGGUGAAAGACGGCAGCUUAACUGUCGCAGUGCCUUUGAUACUGUAGGACUUGAAUCUAUUUGAAGUGGGCGGAAUAAGACAAGUAGCGGUGAAAUGCAUAGAUAUGUCUUAGAACUCCGAUUGCGAAGGCAGCUCACUAAGUUAGUAUUGACGCUGAUGCACGAAAGCGUGGGGAUCAAACAGGAUUAGAUACCCUGGUAGUCCACGCCCUAAACGAUGAUAACUCGAUGUUUGCGAUACACAGUAAGCGUCCAAGCGAA